CCCAAGCAACCCUGUAAAAGCUUGUUUCCUGCUCAGUUCCCUCCUGCUUCUCACUGAGCAGAGGCAGCCACACUCUUGAGUCUCUCCCAGCAAAUCUCUUGUGUGAGGUUUGUUGUGCCAUGUGACUUUUUUUUUAUACCCAAAACUCCCUGGCUGCUGACCAACAGGAUACCUUUUUCUUCAGAGAUGCAACAUUUCCAUUGGGGAAGUCCUCCCCCUCAGAGCUGUGACACAGAUGGAGAGGGACAUUUAAGGACAGAAAGAUGAGGAGUGUCUGUGCUACAGAAAUACUUUAGAGGAAACAACUGGAAAAUGUCCACAAAGCUUAAAAACCAUCCGCAGCCUGAGCCAGGAUAGAACUCAUAGGAAGGGAAGAGUCCGGCUUGCAAAGAGACUGGAGAGGCUGCCUGACAGGCCAAGCAGAGUGUGACACUAUCCUCCUUUUAAAGACAAACUUUAGGAGUCAGAUGUUCAUCCCUCGAGGAAUUAGAAAUGGAUUUCUUAAUAUGAAUAGAGUGGUGUCAGAUCAAUAUCUUGUCUGUGUGGCUGGAGGUUUACAGAGCGGUUCUGUCCUCUCUUAACCAAACUGUAGUCAUCUUUGCCUUCAUGUCCACAUCUUCCAAGCCCAUGGUCAACACUGAAUAUUUUAAUCAUUUAUAUCAACAAGUUGAUUUCACCCCCUUUUCUUAUAUUUUUCAUAGUAUGUUGAAGUUUAUGUUGCUUUUGGUGUGGUUUAGACUCUUCUUUUGAAAAACCCAUCAAUCUCUUCAUCUCUUUAUCUGUUAAUUACCCAAUUGCAUUUUACCUUCUCUCUGGUCUUCUCUAAUUUACUUGUUGCUUUUUCUGUUGUUUGAUUCACGGAUAUGACGUUUGGGCUUGUGGGAAGUGGGAACAUUUCAUUUUAGCAAGUAUUUUACCAUCAUCAUUGCCUGGAAUGCUGGUCCACAGUUUUAUGUUUUAUACCACAAGUGUCUCUUUGCCAAGAGCUGACAUCUUGGUCUCCAGCCAAGGUUGGAGCCAGGGUUGUCAAGGCAACAAAGGAGGUACCAAUCCCCAAAGCCUCCUUCCGUAAGGUAAGCAGCCUCUUGUCUCUUGCCUCGUGCCCCUACCAUGAUCUACUUACUUUAUUCUUACAUUUUAUAGGCCAGCGACUACUUCUCAACAGCCUUGAAGCUUAAUCCAGAAAACGAAUGUGCUCUCAUGAAUCGAGCUGUUACAAACUCAGUAUUAAAGAAAUAUGAAGAAGCAGAAAAAGAUUUUUCACAUGCAAUGGAGCUCUGUCCCCACUGGGCUGCACUGUAUUUUAACAGAGCAAGUUUCUAUGUCUACUUGAAGAAGUAUGAACUCGCUGAAGAGGACCUUGACAGAGCCCUGUCUUUGAAGCCUGAUGAUGCUAUAAUGUAUAAUCUCAGAGCACAAGUCCGUGGCAAAAUAGGACUGAUAGAGGAAGCUAUGUGUGACUAUAACCAAGCCCUUGAUCUUGAAGAAUAUUCCAAAGCUAUGUGAAUACAGACCCUUGUGGUUUCUGUAGUAGGUUAAGUAUUUUUCUUCCUGAAGCUGAAAUAUAUUUGUUGUUUAGAAAUGCCAUUCUUGUUGUAUUCAUCACACUUAUUAAGUGGUUAUUCUUUAUAACCACAUAACACAUUUUAAUACACUAAGUAUUAAAUAAAUUUUGUUAAAUGAACCUUAACAAAA
rnacentral:lncRNA from 1 species